rnacentral:rRNA from 1 species
CCUGACUGCUAUCGGAUUGAUACUAAGCCAUGCGAGUCUUUGUAGUAAUACAAGGCAGACGGCUCAGUAACACGUAGUCAACCUACCCUAUGGACGAGAAUAAUCUCGGGAAACUGAGCAUAAUUCUCGAUAGAUCAUAAUGCCUGGAAUGGUUUAUGGUUAAAAUGAUUCGUCGCCAUAGGAUGGGACUGCGGCCUAUCAGCUUGUUGGUGAGGUAGUGGCCCACCAAGGCGAUUACAGGUACGGGCUCUGAGAGGAGAAGCCCGGAGAUGGGUACUGAGACACGGACCCAGGCCCUAUGGGGCGCAGCAGGCGAGAAAACUUUGCAAUGUGCGAAAGCACGACAAGGUUAAUCCGAGUGAUUUCUGCUAAAGAAAUCUUUUGUCAGUCAUAAAACCACUGACGAAUAAGGGGUGGGCAAGUUCUGGUGUCAGCCGCCGCGGUAAAACCAGCACCUCAAGUGGUCAGGAUGAUUAUUGGGCCUAAAGCAUCCGUAGCCGGCUUUGUUAGUUUUCGGUUAAAUCCAUGUGCUCAACACAUGGGCUGCCGAAAAUACUGCAUGGCUAGGGAGUGGGAGAGGUAGACGGUACUCAGUAGGAAGGGGUAAAAUCCUUUGAUCUAUUGAUGACCACCUGUGGCGAAGGCGGUCUACCAGAACACGUUCGACGGUGAGGGAUGAAAGCUGGGGGAGCAAACCGGAUUAGAUACCCGGGUAGUCCCAGCUGUAAACGAUGCAGACUCGAUGAUGCAUUGGCAUAAUAGCCAGUGCAGUGUCGCAGGGAAGCCGUUAAGUCUGCCGCCUGGGAAGUACGUACGCAAGUAUGAAACUUAAAGGAAUUGGCGGGGGAGCACCACAAGGGGUGAAGCCUGCGGUUC